rnacentral:lncRNA from 1 species
AAGGGCUGGAUGGAUCAAAACAAGGAUCGCAGGAGAGGAACUGCAAGGCACUGAGCGGCCACUCUAAGUCCCAGGGACCUCGAAGUCUUUAUCCUGCUGAAUGCUCACAAACCACCUCUGAGGCAGGACCGGUCUCCUCACUUCACACGUGAGAGAGUCAACAUUCAGAAAAGUCAGUGCUGAAGCCUGAAGUCACAGGUUGGGUGGACAAUGGAGCCAGGCUUUUCCCAGAUCUCGCUGAAUAAACUGCUCACGGGCUUUCUAUUCUACUGUAUGUUGCUGAGAUGACCGUCCCAGAAUGGCCCCACCCUUGCUAAACUGGGAGCUGCCUGGAACUAAGACCUUACUUCUUGGAAUAGAACAUGAAAUCCUUGAGAAG